GUGGGAGGGGGCUUGCUCCCGAUAGUGGUGGGUCAGCCAGUCCAUUCGGUACUGACAUUCCACUAUCGGGAGCAAGCCCCCUCCCAC
rnacentral:misc_RNA from 1 species